CCUACGGGUGGCAGCAGUGGGGGAUAUUGCACAAUGGGGGAAACCCUGAUGCAGCAACGCCGCGUGAACGAAGAAGGUCUUCGGAUUGUAAAGUUCUGUUCUUGGUGAAGAUAAUGACGGUAGCCAAGGAGAAAGCCCCGGCUAACUACGUGCCAGCAGCCGCGGUAAUACGUAGGGAGCGAGCGUAGUCCGGAUUUACUGGGUGUAAAGGGUGCGCAGACGGCUGUGCAAGUCAGGAGUGAAAGGUUGGGGCUCAACCGCAAAACUGCAAUGGAAACUGUGAGUGGUGAGUAAAGUAGAGGUAGGCGGAAGGAGGGGUGUAGAGGUGAAAUGCUUAGAUAGAAAGAAGAA
rnacentral:rRNA from 1 species